rnacentral:rRNA from 1 species
CCUACGGGAGGCAGCAGUGGGGAAUAUUGCACAAUGGGGGAAACCCUGAUGCAGCAACGCCGCGUGAGUGAAGAAGUAUUUCGGUAUGUAAAGCUCUAUCAGCAGGGAAGAAAAUGACAGUACCCGACUAAGAAGCCCCGUCUAACUACGUGCCAGCAGCCGCGGUAAUACGUAGGGGGCAAGCGUUAUCCGGAUUUACUGGGUGUAAAGGGAGCGUAGACGGCUGCGCAAGUCAGAAGUGAAAGCCCGGGGCUCAACCGCGGGACUGCUUUUGAAACUGUGUAGCUAGAGUGCAGGAGAGGCAAGUGGAAUUCGUGGUGUAGCGGUGAAAUGCGUAGAUAUUAGGAGGAACACCGGUGGCGAAGGCGGCUUACUGGACUGUGACUGACGUUGAGGCUCGAAAGCGUGGGGAGCGAACAGGAUUAGAUACCCCAGUAGUC